AAUCAACACUGGCGGCGUGCCUCAGACAUGCAAGUCGAACGAUUAAAGCUCUCUUCGGAGAGUGUAUAGAGUGGCGCACGGGUGAGUAACACGUAAGUAAUCUACCUUUGAGUGGGGAAUAACAGUCGGAAACGACUGCUAAUACCGCAUAAUGCAGCGGCAUCGCAAGAUGACAGUUGUUAAAGGAGCAAUCCGCUUAAAGAGGAGCUUGCGGCAGAUUAGCUAGUUGGUAAGGUAACGGCUUACCAAGGCUACGAUCUGUAUCCGGUCUAAGAGGACGGUCGGACACACUGACACUGAAUAACGGGUCAGACUCCUACGGGAGGCAGCAGUCGGGAAUUUUGGGUCGAAUGGGCGAAAGCCUGACCCAGCAACGCCGCGUGAAGGAUGAAGUAUUUCGGUAUGUAAACUUCGAAAGAAUAGGAAGAAUAAAUGACGGUACUAUUUAUAAGGUCCGGCUAACUACGUGCCAGCCGCCGCGGUAAC
rnacentral:rRNA from 1 species